CAUUUCGGACCACAAAUUCUACCAGUAGAGGGAGCCGUGUUCUACUUGGAAAAUCCUCUAAGCUCAAGGAUCUUUGCCGGAAACAGCAUCACCCCUCCAACUUGUUUACUGAACACUGCCUCCCUUUACUCUGGGUUAGUCAUUUUACGGUAUCGGCACCAGCCUGGGGAUCCUUCUGACAGCGGAUAUAUUGUCACAGUGCAGUCUGAGAUCCAGCCUUCAGCUUUUCUAAGAAUACAGUUAGCUUCUGCACGAAACAUCUUGUUAAAAUCGCAAUUCUAAGGCCUCUUUUUGGCUUUAUUGUUCCUUCCUGUUCUCUAAAAUUGUAAAUGAUUUUUACCUUUACGAGUAUAGAAGGGAUUAAAUUUGACUACACCAGAACAAAAAUGUGUAACUCCAGCAUGAAUGCAACAAUCAAAACGUUAAUCCAGGACCAUAAGAGGAUGUGGAAAAGAGAAAACAGUUGAAGUAUUAAGGUUGGAGCAUUGUGAAUGAUUUGUCUUUUUAAAAAAAGGUUCAUAAUUGCAAAAUAAACAUAAUUCAAGAGGAUGAAAAAGUCCACGUAAAAAGCAACACAGAGGUGAAGGAGCCAGCCAGCCAGAGAUUUUAGGGGGUGGAGUCAAAGCAAUCAGCAGCUCCGCCAGUACCAGCACUCCCCGCCAGACCCCGCUCCUGGCGUGUGCCUCAGCUUUGCAAUAAAGCUUCCUCUUUUUCAGGAUAUUGAAUUGGGGUUCAGGGAAAGCCAGACAUCAUGUAAUCAGUUUGAAAUUACAGCGUAUAUCUAAUAAAAGCACACAAAAUUUACCAAAAUUUUUUUUGCCAGAAUCUCUUAAACAGCAAUGCGUUUGCUAAGAAAAGGGGAGAUGGAAAAGAAAUCAUGUGUAAGAGAAAUCUUUUCACAAGAACCUACGCAACUUCAGACCCGGCACACAUAAUGGCAGAUAGCUUAAAACCGGAACCUCCGUCACCUUAGAAGGAGACGGAGAAUCAGAGUUUGCACCUCAGAGUGAGGAGAGCCCUGUUCAGCCUGGAUCCCAGGAAGGUCCACCUCUCUGUCUGUUAGCAUGGCUGCUCUGCGGAGAGGACAAAGGUCUUUCCUGCUUAGUCAAAUCAGUGCAUCAGAGUGUUGUGGUGAUAUACGCUACACGUUUGGACUGAUUCUAUCGGAGACACAGGGCCCCCUUCAUGGAUGUGGGGCCUGUGCAGUCAAACAAGGUUCCAAACAUAGGAGGAUCCCCUUUGUGUUUGGUUUAAUCUCUGCUGUCACUGUUUUGAAAUUCUUGAUAAUUUAUGAACAAGAGACCUCAUUUUCCACUGGACUUUGAAAACUAUGUGGCUGGUCUUGGUUGGAAGUUUUUGCGAGGCUGUUCACAUUGCUACAUAGAUUUCUUCCAUUACUCUGCUCUGUGGUUAACCCUUUCAAUGUGCUUAGCCUGUUGGCCUGCUGUGGGCAACAUGUGGCUUGCUGUGAGUUGGGUCUGUGAGUUCCCAUGUGUUCUAGACUGCAGAGUGUGGGCCUCUUCAAAGCGGAUUUGUCCUUUCUCCCCUUAUAAACUCCAGGUCAGCGCCUGUGUCUUGCACAGACAAUUUAGCAGGUUCCUCCUCUCUUCCCCAAAUGACCAGAGCUUCAUGUUGUUUUCACCACAGGUGCUCUAAGUACAUACCACCCUUUUAGAAUCCGCAUUAAAGGUAGUCGAGUUCUUCUGAAAACUUUGCCUGGGCAAAGAUUAGUGUAAAUCUGUGCUACUUUGAGCAUGCCGCAUUUACCUUCAUAGGCCUUGAAUGUGGCAAACGACAGAGACCUCUGGUGUUGCACUCAUCUUGCUCAAACAUCUGCUGACCUUUAACAUUUGGUUUUCCACAGGUCACAGUCUCCCUUAAGAUUUGAAAGUGGCUCCUUUGAAUGAGCAAAAUGCAAUUUAACUACAGCUCUGUAGCAUUUCUACAGCCAAAACCCCAUGAGCUGCAGCAAGAACUCGCUACCUCCCUACUGUAUCCCCAUACACAAAAGGCCCAGAGGAGGAUCAGAUGGCCCGUGGGUAAUAUAGCUCCUUUAAUAUUCCAGCAAUCACUUUCUUCUCCCCUGCUUCCCUCCCAGAGCAGAGCAGGAAAGAAACCAAACAUUGUCCUACGCAAAAAUGGGGCCUAAUGCCCCAAGGGGGAAAGGAGGAGAGAGAGAAAGGUGCCUUGCAAAUUUGGGAAAUACUUACGAUAGCAAUUUAAACGGUAUCAUCCCUGGGCCUGGCACAGUGGCUUAUGCCUGUUAUCCCAGCACUUUGAGAGGCCAAGUCAGGCAGAUCACUUGAGGCCGGGAGUUCAAGACCAGCCUGGUCAAAAUGGUGAAAACCUGUCACUACUAAAAAUACAAAAAUUAGCUAAGAGUAGUGAUGGGCACCUGUAAUCCCAGCUACCCAGGAGGCUGAGGAGAAUCGCUUAAACCUGGGAGGCAGAGGUUGUUGUGAGCUGAGAUCGUGACGCUGCACUCUAGCCUGGGCGACACAGCAACACUCCAUCUCUAAAUAAAUAAAUAACUGUAUCAUCCCUGAAAAUGAAUGUGCCCAUUGGAUGAGACUGGCAGACACAGCGUAAGAGGUGAAGAGAUGAGCACACCUAUAGCUCACCCUGGUAGAAAUAUUGAAAAAUCUGACCAGUAGACUUCAGACCCACCUUUUUCCAUGCAACAAGAAGUGCCCCCCACCCCCCGACCACCCUGCAUCUUAUUGUUUUGUGAGGUUUAAAGAGCAACAGCCAUCAUUCACCAUUUAGUUGAAGUCCAAGAUGUCUUCUGCAGACCAAAUAACUACGGGUGUUUGGGAGCGGAGUUUUCCUGAAUCAAGUGGGUGUGUACCUGGAGGCUGAUGGGCUAGUUGUGACCUAGGUUGAGAAUAGGAAUCCACAGAGAGUGUUCUUCCUGUGAUCAGGCUUUUAUCUUUAAAGUGCAUCCCCUUUGAGGUUCAGGGCAAAGUCCUAAUUAGCAGGGUCUCGACUUUUCCUCUGCUAUGUAGUUCUUUCCAAACCACAGGGCCUUGGAUGGAUUGAAGGGGCAGAGUGUCAAUCUUUGGUCCAGGGAAGGGGUAUCACCUUAUCAAGUGGACCUGGACUCAGAGAGGUCAAGUCAGAAAGUAGAAUAAGUCUGUCUCCUUUCUCAGUCAGUGAGAGUUAGCUGCCCUCUGAACAAAGAAAGGGCUGAGAUUGGACAUUCAGGUAACUGAAAGAAGCUGGCCUCCUACUGUGGCCUAGCAGGGGCACUGUACUUCUUAUGUUCAUCUUCAAAAGGAAUUCUGUGGAAGGGGCAUUCUGUAUCAAAUUGCUACCCAAUUUCUAAACCA